rnacentral:rRNA from 1 species
UAGGUCAAGAUUUCUGGAAUGGAUCCUGGCUUAAAUCUACAUGGCCCCUGGAUUGGACUGCGGCCGAUCAGGCUGUUGGUGAGGUAAUGGCCCACCAAACCUAUAACCGGUACGGGCUCUGAGAGGAGAAGCCCGGAGAUGGGCACUGAGACAAGGGCCCAGGCCCUAUGGGGCGCAGCAGGCGCGAAAACUCUGCAAUGGGCGAAAGCCUGACAGGGUUACUCUGAGUGAUUUCCGCUAAGGAGAUCUUUUGGCAGCUCUAAAAAUGGUGCAGAAUAAGGGGUGGGCAAGUCUGGUGUCAGCCGCCGCGGUAAUACCAGCACCCCGAGUGGUCGGGACGAUUAUUGGGCCUAAAGCAUCCGUAGCCGGUUGUGCAAGUCCUCCGUUAAAUCCAGCCGCUCAACGGAUGGGCUGCGGAGGAUACUACAGAACUAGGAGGCGGGAGAGGCAAGCGGUACUUAGUGGGUAGGGGUAAAAUCCUUUGAUCCAUUGAAGACCACCAGUGGCGAAGGCGGCUUGCCAGAACGCGCUCGACGGUGAGGGAUGAAAGCUGGGGGAGCAAACCGGAUUAGAUACCCGGGUAGUCCCAGCUGUAAACGAUGCAGACUCGGUGAUGGGCUAGCCUCGUGUCAGCCCAGUGCCGCAGGGAAGCCGUUAAGUCUGCCGCC